rnacentral:rRNA from 1 species
CCUACGGGAGGCAGCAGUAGGGAAUUUUGCGCAAUGGGGGAAAGCCUGACGCAGCAACGCCGCGUGAACGAGAAGCGCUUCGGGGUGGAAAGUUCUGUCAGUGGGGACGAAAAAUGACGGUACCCACAGAGGAAGCACCGGCUAACUCCGUGCCAGCAGCCGCGGUAAUACGGAGGGUGCAAGCGUUGUCCGGAAUCAUUGGGCGUAAAGAGGUCGUAGGCGGCAUGUCAAGUCAGGUGUUAAAGGCGCAGGUUCAACCUUAGAAUGGCAUUUGAUACUUGCAAGCUGGAAUACGGUAGAGGUAAAGGGAAUUCCUGGUGUAGCGGUAAAAUGCUUAGAUAUCAGGAGGAACUUCGGUGGCGUAAGCGCUUUACUAGGCCGUAAUUGACGCUGAUGACCGAAAGCCAGGGUAGCAAAUGGGAUUAGAUACCCUAGUAGUC